GACGAACGCUGGCGGCGUGCUUAACACAUGCAAGUCGAACGCUGAAGCACCAGCUUGCUGGUGUGGAUGAGUGGCGAACGGGUGAGUAAUACGUGAGUAACCUGCCCUUGACUCUGGGAUAAGCCCGGGAAACUGGGUCUAAUACUGGAUGCUACAUGUCACCGCAUGGUGGUGUGUGGAAAGGGUUUACUGGUCUUGGAUGGGCUCACGGCCUAUCAGCUUGUUGGUGAGGUUAUGGCUCACCAAGGCGACGACGGGUAGCCGGCCGGGGAGGGUGACGGGCCACACUGGGACUGGGACACGGCACAGACUCCUACGUGAGGCAGCAGUGGGGAAUAUUGCACAAUGGGCGAAAGCCUGAUGCAGCGACGCCGCGUGAGGGAUGACGGCCUUCGGGUUGUAAACCUCUUUCAGCAGGGAAGAAGCCACAAGUGACGGUACCUGCUGAAGAAGCGCCGGCUAACUACGUGCCAGCAGCCGCCGUAA
rnacentral:rRNA from 1 species